rnacentral:lncRNA from 1 species
CGAGCGUUAUCUUUCUGAAAUGCUCUAGCAUUGGCUCACAUGGAAAUCUAUAUUCUGCUUUCCUCUGCUCCUCAGAUCUUUUUGUGGAGGGCCAGGUUCAACCUGCACAUCCAAAACCGGCGUGAACUUCCAUUAAACAACACUGACUGAACAAUCCCUGGAUACAUGAGGUUUGCUGCCCUACAGCUGCUGCAGGAACAGCCCGAAGGCACGUACAUCUUUGAUUACAUCAAGAGCACUGCUUCCGUAACAGCGCAGAUCUUUGCUGCUAUUUCACUGCGUUAUUGUCACUAGCAGAAAAGUCACCAUUUCAGACUUACCCUCCCGAGGUCAUCUUUUUGCUGACACACACAGCCCCAGCCAGGACUGCUCCCAACUAAGUCACAGCGAUGCUGACUCCUCCGGGUUCCUGAAACUGCCACGGGACUGAGCCCAUCUGCAUUGCCCAAAUCUCAAAUCCCAGAGCUGCGUUAUGGGCAUUUUGCAGAUUGAGAAAGAAGGGCAAAGAGAAGUGCAUGGAUCUGCCUGCACAAAGAAGAUCCCUAUCUGCAGUCGGGGGCUCCUCACCGCUGUGAUAACACAAGCUGUCGUUAGAAGUGCCAGAUACACUGCAUAAAUAGAGAAAACCUCCCCGCAGUUAAGGACACCUGAAUGACAAGAUGCUAAUGUUGGAAUUUGGGAUAAUGAGAACACACUGGGACUGCCCCUUGCGCCUACAAACCCUCAGGUAACAGCACGGAGCCCUGGGAAUGGCUCUGCCAUUGCACUGAGGAGCACAAGCCUGGGCCUGGCCUGCAGGUGCAGCGGUGACAUCCAGGUUUUGUCCUCCAUGAAAUUUCUGCACUUACUUUCAACAUGUGCUGUCACUUUGCAGAUCACUUUGCAGACCACUGCUGAAUGCAAGGGACUGCCCACAAACGCCUUAUGAGUAACAUGGAGGAACAUCUACUGUCUUCUGAAGAACACAG